GGAGGUUUUCCAGAGCCUGGUGUAGCUGGGUCUGGCUGGGAGGUCGAGUUAGUGAGUGAUUAGGCUGGUCAGUUUAGACCAGCGUAGUUAAGUUAGAGAGGCUCCAAUUGGGAGCUAGGUUUUCGUUUUAUGAUUUGGUUUUGGGGUUUGAGCGAUUAAAAAUAAAGCGCUAUUUUGUUCAAAGCUGCUGUUCCUGACUCUGAUUGCCCUAGAGGACUGUGCUUAGGACCCCUAAAAAGUGACAUAAUGCGGGCAAAGCACUGCUAUGGUCUGUGGGCAGAAAGCAGGAACCAA